GGGCAAGCUGUUCUUUUUGGCGGGAAUAGUCUUGUCCCCGCUUUCUCCGAAAAUCCCCAAAUUUCACAGUCGGAAACCCUACCUAGCCAGCACCCUUCAGUCUCUAGGCUAAGAAGAGAGACAAAAUCCAAAACUCUUAAAAUCAAGCCACAUUAAUGGGAAAAGACGAUGAGGAAAUGAGGGGCGAGAUAGAGGAGAGGCUUAUAAACGAAGAAUACAAAAUAUGGAAAAAGAACACUCCUUUCCUUUACGAUCUGGUAAUCACCCAUGCUCUCGAGUGGCCUUCCCUCACCGUCGAGUGGUUACCCGAUCGUGAGGAGCCUCCUGGCAAGGACUACUCCGUCCAGAAGAUGAUUCUCGGCACCCACACCUCCGAGAACGAGCCCAAUUACCUCAUGCUCGCCCAGGUCCAGCUCCCCCUGGAUGAUGCCGAGAACGAUGCCCGCCAUUACGAUGACGAUCGCUCUGAUUUUGGCGGGUUCGGAGCUGCAAACGGAAAGGUUCAAAUAAUUCAGCAAAUUAAUCACGACGGAGAGGUUAAUAGGGCCCGUUAUAUGCCUCAAAACCCUUUUAUUAUCGCUACCAAGACAGUUAGCGCUGAAGUUUAUGUCUUUGACUAUAGCAAACACCCUUCUAAGCCCCCUCUUGAUGGUGCUUGUAC
rnacentral:misc_RNA from 1 species